rnacentral:tRNA from 1 species
GCCUUCGUGGCGUAGUGGUCAGCACGCUCGACGCGUAACCGAGGCACCCGUGUUUCGAAUCCCGGCGAAGGCG